GUAGAUGCUCAUUCCACUCCUUAUGACAGCAUAUGUCUUCAUAAACCUAGGAAUGAUGCAGAGCCGAUUAUCGGUGCCUACGUCCACGUUAUCGAUGAAACACCAUUCAUCACCAACAGGACGAAACGUUGAGUGAGGCACCAUCCGUCUGUAGACCUGAUUG
rnacentral:sRNA from 1 species